rnacentral:rRNA from 1 species
UACGGGGGGGGCAAGCGUUGUUCGGAAUUACUGGGCGUAAAGGGCUCGUAGGCGGCCAACUAAGUCAGACGUGAAAUCCCUCGGCUUAACCGGGGAACUGCGUCUGAUACUGGAUGGCUCGAGAUUGGGAGAGGGAUGCGGAAUCCCAGGUGUAGCGGUGGAAUGCGUAGAGAUCCGGAAGAACACCGGUGGCGAAGGCGGCCUGCUGGGCAGUGGGGGAGACCCCUUCAAGCUGACACUGAGGCGCGACAGCGUGGGGAGCAAACAGG